AGGCUUGGGAUGGGUGUCCUGACCAAACUUCAGGGCUGCCGACAUGGUGCAAGCUUGUGGCCUUCGUGAGGAUGCUUGUGCAGUACUGAUCUGUACAUGCUGUGGUGUCCACCUGAGGGCGCACUGGUCCCAGCACCGGUCAAUCCCUGAGAGGCCUGGAUAAUAAACAUGAGCCAGAUUCAGAAUCCAAACCAGGUUGUGAAUGUUUCAUCCUGUCCAGUCUGUGGGAUUCUCCAAAGUGAAGAUCAACCUGAAAGGAUGCUGAUGUAUAAAAGGUCAGCGUGGCGUUCUAAUGGUCACUCCCAACGAAAGUGACGUGUGGGUUUUGUUUUUCUUAGUGUCGUGCAAUUCUAAAACAAUCCUUGCAUGGAGGCCUGCAACAUAGAAUUGAUAUAAUUGAUUACUAAAAGAGUAGGUAACAAAUUUCAUAAUCGAUUCGUGGUGUUGUGCGAUGCAGAGACAUUUGAUUAUUUAAAAUCAGAGUGAAUACACUGGGUCUCUCUAGCGCACUGAUGCUAGCAGAGUUUAGCACCUCAUAAACAGGGCGGAGCAAAAAUAAAACGAGUGAAGGUAGAGGAAAACUACAUGGUGCAGACAAAGAAAUCCAUGUGACCCAAGUCAUCCAAGGUGUGGGAGUAUUUUGCUCUAAAUAAACAGAAGUGUGUUGACUGCAUAGUAUGCAAAAGCGACAUGGCAUGACACAGGAGCACCACGGCAAUGAUUCAGCACCUGAAAUGCAAGUGUGCAUCUGUAGUGUAGAGAAGUUCUUACAUUCAAGCAAAUGCUGUUAAAUGUUCUAAUUUGUAUUUUUAUAUAUAAAACUAUUGUUCUAGCAGGUGGCACUAUUUUUAAAAGUCUAUAUUUGGCAGAUGUAAGGCAUUUGUUUUUUUUUAUCCAUUUUUAUUAUAACAGCUCACUGUGCAACAUGUUUGUUCACUUUCUAAAGAUUUUAGUUCUGUUUUUGAAUAAAAUUAAUGCCUGUUUUUUUCUGGUUAAUUGACAGAAUAAUAAAUUAAAAUAAUUGUUAGUUGCAGCCCUUCUUGCAUGUAUCCCCUUGUUAAAGCAAAUUUAGCUCCUUCAGGUUGUGUAAACUCAUGUCAUCCAUGCAGCUUGGUCGUAUUUUUGUUGCUGCGCUGUGUCAUUUUCUGGCGUCACAACUCCUGGCUCGGUGGGGCGAAUAUCGUAUAUAAUGUUUUUUUCCUUGUUUAUUCAAAGCGUCACAGCUCAUAAAGGAUAAGGCCUUCAUGUGUUACUUGUAUUAUAGGAAUACAUUGAGCACUCAAACUGCAUUAUAAUUGGGAGCCUUUCUGCCAAGCAGAGACUCAACUCUCGGCAUUUCCCACGGGUCAUGGAAUGCAGAUUAAAGGAUUCUCUUUGGGGAGCACAGCUUGCAGUACUCCUUUCAUUCUCCCCUUACCUAAAAGCCUGUUUGACUGAAAAUGCUGGUGUUUCAGUUGCGGCAGUCUGUUGUAUUUCAUACAAAAUCAAAAGUGCUAAGCAAUGAAGUUUAAAUGAAAAAAGGGGGGGGGGGUCGGGGCUGGUGCAGUAUAUCUGUGGUUUGAGCAUGUGAAGAAUAAAUUAUAAACAAGCCAUUGCUUUCCUUGAUGGAAUCUGAGGCCCGUAUUAAAAUUGUUAAGAACCUAUCCAUCAGGAAUAGUUUCUUCCUUUUUUUUUUUUUAGAAUUGUGAAAUUGGUGUUACUGAUUUUUGCCCUGACUCAGCUCUAAAUCUGUAAAUCAUGGUUCUGUGUCCAAAAGUCACUAUUAAUAAAGUUAUUUUAUGCUGGAA